ACAUGAACAACGCAAAUAACAACAUUCUUCAAAAAGCGUUCCUGCGAGGAUACUCUUUCCCUACGGGGUUUGACUAGCCGAUGAAGUACGGAAAUCGUCAUACAGAAUGGAGAGGAACUGCCUAGCAGAGUGUCGAUCUUGGGUGCAGUGCCUGACUGGAACUCUUUUGGGUUCGGUGGAAGGGACUGCAAUGAUUGACUCUACAA
rnacentral:sRNA from 1 species